CGGUCAAAUGGAGUAGCAGAAAACCGGCUUUUGGAUUUCAGGUGAAAGACGACCGAUGUAAAAGGAGUUGCACUUCCUUGGGUGAAAAUCCCUAAAACUGCCCUUUGAUGCCCUUACACGGACGCUUCUUGCAUGGUGGGGUAUGUGUCUAACCCAUUUCAUGUGUCGGGGCAAAGCAGAUUAGAUGGCACCCUACAAAAUAUCUGUACGAAAGGCGAAUACUUUUUUAUU
rnacentral:sRNA from 1 species